UACGUAGGGUGCGAGCGUUAAUCGGAAUUACUGGGCGUAAAGGGUGCGCAGGCGGCUCCGCAUGUCGGGCGUGAAAGCCCCGGGCUUAACCCGGGAAUGGCGUCCGAAACUAUGGAGCUGGAGUGUGGCAGAGGGAGGUGGGAAUUCCACGUGUAGCGGUGAAAUGCGUAGAGAUGUGGAGGAACACCGAUGGCGAAGGCAGCCCCCUGGGUCAAGAUUGACGCCUCAUGCACGAAAGCGUGGGGAGCAAACAGG
rnacentral:rRNA from 1 species